GACGUAGGGCGCGAGCGUUUGUCCGGAUUUAUUGGGCGUAAAGAGCUCGUAGGCGGCUUGUCGCGUCGACUGUGAAAUCCCGCGGCUCAACUGCGGGUCUGCAGUCGAUACGGGCAGGCUAGAGUUCGGUAGGGGAGACUGGAAUUCCUGGUGUAGCGGUGAAAUGCGCAGAUAUCGGGAGGAACACCGGUGGCGAAGGCGGUUCUCUGGGCCUGUACUGACGCUGAGGAGCGAAAGCGUGGGGAGCGAACAGG
rnacentral:rRNA from 1 species